rnacentral:rRNA from 1 species
AUUGAACGCUGGCGGCAUGCCUUACACAUGCAAGUCGAACGGCAGCGCGGGAGCAAUCCUGGCGGCGAGUGGCGAACGGGUGAGUAAUAUAUCGGAACGUGCCCUAGAGUGGGGGAUAACUAGUCGAAAGAUUAGCUAAUACCGCAUAAGAUCUACGGAUGAAAGUGGGGGAUCGCAAGACCUCAUGCUCGUGGAGCGGCCGAUAUCUGAUUAGCUAGUUGGUAGGGUAAAAGCCUACCAAGGCCACGAUCAGUAGCUGGUCUGAGAGGACGACCAGCAAAACUGGGCCUGGGACACGGCCCAUACUCCUACUGGAGACAGCAGGUGGGAAUUUUGGACAAUGGGGGAAACCCUGAUCCAGCAAUGCCGCGUGGGUGAAGAAGGCCUGCGGGUUGUAAAGCACUUUUGUCCGGAACGAAACGGGCCGAGCUAAUAUCUUGGCCUAAUGACGGUACCGGAAGAAUAAGCACCGGCUAACUACGUGCCAGCCGCCGCCGUAA